UACGUAGGUGGCAAGCGUUGUCCGGAUUUACUGGGCGUAAAGAGCGCGCAGGCGGUCGAUUUAGUCGCGUGUGAAAGCCCCCGGCUCAACUGGGGAGGGUCACGCGAUACUGAUCGACUCGAAGGCAGGAGAGGGUAGUGGAAUUCCCGGUGUAGCAGUGAAAUGCGUAGAGAUCGGGAGGAACAUCUGUGGCGAAGGCGACUGCCUGGACCAGCACUGACACUGAGGCACGAAAGCGUGGGGAGCAAACAGG
rnacentral:rRNA from 1 species